rnacentral:rRNA from 1 species
AAGCUCGUAGUUGAAUUUCGGGGUUAGUAGGUUGGUCAUGCCUCCGGUAUGUACUGGUCUCACUGAUUCCUCCUUCCUGAUGAACCGUAAUGCCAUUAAUUUGGUGUUGCGGGGAAUUUGGACUGUUACUUUGAAAAAAUUAGAGUGUUUAAAGCAAGCUAACGCUUGAAUACAUUAGCAUGGAAUAAUGAAAUAGGACGUUCGAUCCUAUUUUGUUGGUUUCUAGGAUUGACGUAAUGAUUAAUAGGGAUAGUUGGG